CUUACCUUGCCAUGUUGUAUAUGUGCUACAGAUCUAUAAUUGUAAACAAUGAUAGGUUACUGUCUUACUAAUAUGUAUGCCUUUUUGUUUUGGCAUGUCCUGUUUAACUGGGUUAGAAGUGUGAUAGUGGAAGAAGUAGGUGUCAUGCUGGAUAAAAUUGAGUAUCAAGCCAUAAUAUGGUUCCCUUCAUCUUCAACAGAAAACUGCACAGACAGUUCACAGAUGUCAGCUGCAUAUGAUGAGAAAUACUUAUUGUGCGAGACUUUGAAAUGAAGGAAAUGAGAAUUCAAAUGUAAUCAACCAACUUUACAGAAUGACCCAAGAGAAUACCAUUCAGCAAGGUUAUGUUAUCUGUGUUUUGGGACAGCAAAAGUGUUAUAUUAAUAGAUUAUUUACAAAAAAGGUUGACAAU
rnacentral:lncRNA from 1 species